GGGAAUACAGUUCAGUGGUAGAACGCAUACUUAGCAAGCAUGAGGUCCUGGGUUCAAUCCUCAGUACCUCCA
rnacentral:tRNA from 1 species